UACGUAGGGAGCAAGCGUUGUUCGGAUUUAUUGGGCGUAAAGGGCGCGUAGGCGGCUCGGCACGUCCGUUGUGAAAUCGCCCGGCUCAACCCUGAAACUGCAUUCGAUACUGCGCGGCUAGAGUGCUGGAGGGGAGACUGGAAUUUACGGUGUAGCAGUGAAAUGCGUAGAUAUCGUAAGGAAGACCAGUGGCGAAGGCGAGUCUCUGGACAGCAACUGACGCUGAGGCACGAAGGCCAGGGGAGCAAACGGG
rnacentral:rRNA from 1 species